UACGUAGGGCGCAAGCGUUAUCCGGAAUUAUUGGGCGUAAAGAGCUCGUAGGCGGUUUGUCACGUCGGAUGUGAAAGCCCGGGGCUUAACCCCGGGUCUGCAUUCGAUACGGGCAGACUAGAGUGUGGUAGGGGAGAUCGGAAUUCCUGGUGUAGCGGUGAAAUGCGCAGAUAUCAGGAGGAACACCGGUGGCGAAGGCGGGUCUCUGGGCCGAUACUGACGCUGAGGAGCGAAAGCGUGGGGAGCGAACAGG
rnacentral:rRNA from 1 species